rnacentral:lncRNA from 1 species
GAUUUUUGUAAUUCGUAGGAUUUUGUAAUUCGUAGGAUUUCAUAAUUUUUUUUAUAAAAAAUUAAACAUUUCAUAAUUCGUAGGAUUUUUGUUUAUUUAAGAAAAUAAUUAGUUUGGUAUAUAUAAAGAACUUGUUUUUUAAUAUGUUUUUAUGUUUUAUCUGACUUUUUUGUUUUUGUAACAUUUUUUUAUUUAUUAUUAAAAUGCAUUUUAUAUAUAAAAAAAGAAAAGGAAAAAGAACCUAAAAAACCCUUGAAAGCACAAGAAAAGCAGACUAAGGGCCGAGCCUCA